CUUUCCUCGCUCCCCCUUUUCCGCUAUGGAAUAACCCAUGGUCGCUGGCCAAUGGGCUGCCUAGUAUUCAUAUUGCGUAAUGCAGAUGAAACGUAAACCAAGCUGAUUACGAGCACAGCAGUCAUUUCGCUGCCAGACAGAGGGGAGACAACACGGGUCUGGGACCGGUCUCUGAUGAUUAAUAGCAACUGCCCCCACGAAGUCAACGCACUCCCCUGCACUUCGGGGCUCAUCAUAAAGAUGUUUACGAAGUACAACUAUAAUAUUUGCAGUGGAAAGGAAACAUCUCAUCGUCAUGGACUUCUUAUUCUAUUUCUUAUCACUUUUAUUAUUCUUUUUUCAAAGGCAAAUCAACAUUUUGGAAUAUUUUGAAUAUUUCGUUGGGCUAAAGCGUUCAGGUACAGGUUGAUGUGUGUGUGUGUCUCUCUAUCCGCAAGGGACGUCGCUGAUGGCUUGCACUGGAAGACGAGCUGUAUCACUGAAGGGAAGGACAUUCGUACGAAAAUUGCUACAAGGAGACCGAGACUGGAAGCCAUGCAAAACCUGAAACAACGUCGCCCGAAGGAGCAAGGCCAUGAGAGGGAAAUGCAAGACCGACAGCAGAGCUGCGUGCAGCCAAGCGAUUGCGCUGCUAUUGAUGGUAAAACUGAGUGCAGUUAGAGAAUUCAUGGACUGACAUACACGUGCUGUCUGCGUUAUUUGACUUAUACGAAUACGUGUUGUCUAUUCUAUUAGGUCAUAUUAAGGAAUGUAAAAAAAUACUUCAAUUGACCUAGAUUGUUAUACGAAUGGUCGACAUCACAACCAAACGUAUUUGAAAUCUUUAUUGACACGACAAAAGUACAGAGACUUUCGUGAGGAUUAUAACAAGUACUUACAGUGCAACUAAGCAGACGUAUAUGCAUAUUUACAGAUAUGAAUAAGUCAACAUAUUGUUCUAGCAUGUCAUUUACAUAAUUCGAACAUUGCCUGCAAAUUUCUUGAGUUACAAACAAACUCUUACCAACUCUACGCUUAAACACACGUCUGUGCAGCCGUUUACUUUUCGGGCCGGAACUCGGUGUAAUACAUAAAUGGGACCUUACAGGUAUUGUAUAUACAAGCUGUAUCAGUCUUUCACUCCGUCACUUACAAGAAGAUACAACGCAACGUUUGCUAGAAGUAAUUAGUCAGUGGUAUUGUACUGUGAUUGUUAUUCUUAGACGGUUAUUCGUUUGAUGACGUGAACUGCAACAGACUGAGAUGUACUAGUAACCAAUGUUUAGUGAUAUGAGCGGAGUUGUGUAGCUGUCUGUCAGGUAAGACAGAAUACAAAGACGAGAGAUUUCUACGGCAGUUCAGAAGAGCAGACAUUUGUCUGGUACUGAGACAGAUUGUGAAGACAGGAGAUUUCUAAGGUAAGAGAGUUCAGUUCAGGAGAGACAAUAUAGAGCUUCACCAAAGUGAGAGAGCAUUAUUAUGAAGUCUGUUACAACGUUAAAA